GAAUGUCUAUUACUUUACUGUAAUCACCUAUCGAAAGGGAAACAGGUUAAUAUCCUGUACCAAAUCAAGGAUAAGUAAAAUGGUAACAUAAAAGAACCUAGAAACGUCUAUGGAAAUCCUGGGGAAGAGUUCUCUUUUCUUUUUUAACAAUCUGUGUAUGGUUUACUAUGCAUGUAAAAGACCUUGGAAUCAGUUCAGCUGGAGAGAAGGUUUUAAAGAUUGGUAAAGUAACUCAUUCUUUUGAGUUAUCUGGUGUAUUUCCAGUAGGCCCUUGAAAAUCUAGGGGAAUAAGUUAUUUUCUUGAUUGUUCGUACUCAUAACCGCCGCAGGUCUCCAAGGUUAGAAGCCUCUAGUUUAAUAGAAUAAUGUAGGUAAGGG
rnacentral:rRNA from 1 species